AAUGUGUUGUGUAGUGGUAAAGCGUUUGACUCCUACACAAGAAGUCCCGGGUUCGAUUCCCAGCCUCGGUG
rnacentral:tRNA from 1 species